rnacentral:rRNA from 1 species
AUUGAACGCUGGCGGCAUGCCUUACACAUGCAAGUCGAACGGUAACGCGGGGCGACCUGGCGACGAGUGGCGAACGGGUGAGUAAUGCAUCGGAACGUGCCCAGUAGUGGGGGAUAGCCCGGCGAAAGCCGGAUUAAUACCGCACACGACCUACGGGUGAAAGCGGGGGACCGUAAGGCCUCGCGCUAUUGGAGCGGCCGAUGUCAGAUUAGGUUGUUGGUGGGGUAAAAGCCUACCAAGCCGACGAUCUGUAGCUGGUCUGAGAGGACGACCAGCCACACUGGGACUGAGACACGGCCCAGACUCCUACGGGAGGCAGCAGUGGGGAAUUUUGGACAAUGGGGGCAACCCUGAUCCAGCCAUGCCGCGUGCGGGAAGAAGGCCUUCGGGUUGUAAACCGCUUUUGUCAGGGAAGAAACGCUCUGGGCUAAUACCCCGGGGUAAUGGCGGUACCUGAAGAAUAAGCACCGGCUAACUACGUGCCAGCCGCCGCGGUAAGAC